UUUCAAUUGUUUUUGUUAAUUUCUCUAUUACUUAAUACAAUAGUGCCAUUUAUGUGUUUAUUCAUUCAUUUAUUUGUUUAUAAAGGCAUAGACAACAAUUUAUUUAAGAAAGUAGGUCUAUAUUCAAGGGAGAAUGAGGGAAGUCCCAGGAUAUGCCUUUAGGGUAAAGCAAGGAGUAGAUAUUCAAGAGAGAAUGUUUGCUCUCUCCAAAGGGGGAGAGAGCAACUCUGUGGUGUGUGGCCUCAGUGUUAUAGAGAUAGUUGUUGGGGUCGCUGUGACGACCCCAACACUAGAGGUGGAUGCAGGGUGGAGCUACACAAUAUCAUGCCAGUUUUCCCUGGACUUGAGCUUUGUCCUGUGUUACAAGGGUGUGGGUUAGGGCAUGUGGAUCAGGGGGUGGGCAAUUGUUCCCAGGUACUUUUGCAUCUCAGUGGUUCAUGGGUUUUUCCUUUGAGACUCAGUAUCUUUUUCUUUAUUCUCAAAUUCCUAUCCCAUUCGUACCUCUCAGACAUUUAUCCCUUUAUCUUAAGGAUUGUUGAGGGGUGAAGAUUUAUUUACUAUGGGAACUUGAGACUGGCAUGGGACAAUGACCCUGCUUAGUGUAAAAUGUUUCAUUUUGACUUAUCUAAAGGAGGUAGACAUUGCUCUCAGCUGUGUGGAUGGAUUGUAAUUCUUGGGUUGCCAUCCACUUAAUGUAGAAUUUGUAAUCUGGAAGAUAUAAACCCUGUCUCUAAGUAAGAAUAAAAAGGGUUGUAGCUCAGUGAUAGAGUGCCUGUGGGUUCAAUCCCCAAUGUGAGGCAGGGGGAGAUUUCCUAAAAGCAUUCUUUGAGAGCAUUUCGCUAAUGAUUGGGGUCAAGAGUGAAACAGUAUCAUCUGACUGUAUCCUUAUCUGAAGUAAAGAAAGCUACCUUUUCCUUACUUUCAACCUUAUCCUUUUUUUGCAUCUUUGUUCAUUUAAUUUAGAAUUUUCUGCCCCAGAUUUUACCUUACUUUUAUAUUACAUACACAUUCAAGAAUAGCUUUGGAUAUAUUUAAUUCUGCUGUAGAGCCAAGUCUACAAUUAUUUUGAUAUGUGUUUUAAGUCGCUUCAGAGCAAACUAUCAGAUUUUCUUUUUCUUAAAUGUUGUACAUAAUAAGAAAGUACACAAAUUCUCAUUGUGUUUGAUAAUUUUCACAAACUGAACACAUUCAUAAAACCUGC
rnacentral:lncRNA from 1 species